AUGAAUGAAUUAUUUCUCAUAGAUAACAACAAAAAACUUGCAAAAGUUGACACUAGUGGCGUAAAACUCAACUUUCCCCAGAAAACCAAAAGCUUGCCGGAAAAUAUAGCCGGUAUUGCUCAUCAGCAGUCUGUAACAGCGAAGAAGUCCGUUCAGAAUUUUGCUGUGUUGCAUUCAGAUGUUGAAGCAGUGAUUCAGGAGGAAAAUAAGUAA